UUACUCUCAGGUGGUCUCCAGCAAGAACAGUGUCUCAGCUUCACAGCAACCAAAACCUGCCUGCAGAUAGGCAGGCCUUACCCAUAAACCUUCAAGGAUAAGAGAUGGAAAGUGAACUGGGCCAGGUCUACUUCACGACAGCAGUUACUGGAAAGUGCCAGAACUAAAUCAUGGGCAGAGAGGGAAGGAGGCACUAGGUGGAGGGCAUGGUAAAACAGAACCUGAUGUCUCAGAUUCCCCAAGAUCUUAAUCAGAGUCACUCUGUGCUGUUUUACUGUCUGCAUUCCUACCUUUCUCCAGCCACUUCCCAUUACUUUAUCUCCCACUUGAAAAGGUUUCGUUUUUUCAUAAUCUGAAGCAGUUCUACGGAUGAAUCCAGUCCAGUUUUUUGAGCUGCGGGUCAGAUUAACUUCCAAAUCAAAGAAAAAAAGGAACCAAGAAGAUUGUGCAAAUCGGAAAUGGAAGUCACUGCCUUAUCAGAAAAAUGCCAUAAUCAAAACAGUGUAUCUUCGUGGAAGGCCCAGCUGCAAAAACACAAAUCUAACCUCAAGACUAUCAGCUUAUUCAGACAAAGCAAAAAGGUGCCAUCUAUGAACCAGGAAAUGGGCCCAAGCCAGAGAGUCAAUCCACCAGCACCUUGAUCUUGGACUUCCCAGCCUCCAGAACUGUGAGAAAUAAAUUUCUGUUGUUUAUAAACCACUCAGUUUACAGUGCUUCAUUAUAGCAGUCCAAAUGGACUAAGACACUCAUAGAACCAUGUGCCUUUAUUACAAAAACACACAUUUAAUCAAUAAUUUCCUUUUUGCAAGUCAAAGGCUUAUCUAAUAAAAUUAUAUCACCACCCAGAAGAAAUUUGACCAAGGAGCAGUUAAAUAAUGGACAAAUCUGGAUUAUUGUGUAUUGGCAAGCUCUGUUAUAGCAUGUGCACAAUUCUUUCUCCCUUACUUCACUCCAGCCUCCCAGUUUCAAUCUGGCUAUAUCUAUAAUAUUAGAGACAGACAGACAGACAGAUAGAUAGAUAGACAGAUGAUAGAUAGGUAGAUAGAUAGAUAGAUAGAUAGAUAGAUAGAUAGACAAUAUUGACAGCUACACAUUCUCAUAGUUUGUUUUAGACCAAUUCAGAAAUCGCUGGAUUUCUGGAACACGCUGCAAUGAAGUACAGAAGUGGCUGGGAUAUGUUUAAACAUGGAUAGCUAAGAAAUACAAGAAUAUGACAAGGCACGGUGGCUCACGCCUGUGAUUCCAGCACUUUGGGGGCCCAAGGCAGUCGGAUUAUUUGAGGCCAGGAGUUCAAGACCAGAGUGGCCAACGUGGAGAAACCCUGUCUCUACUAAAAAUACAAAAAAUUAUCUGGGCGUGGUGGUGCAUACCUGUAGUCCCAGCUACUUGACUUGGGAGGCUAAGGCAUGAGAAUUGCUCCACCAGGGAGAUGGAGGUUGCAGAGAGCUGAGAUGGUGCCUCUGUGCUCCAUCCUGGAUGAGAGAGUGAGACUCUGUC
rnacentral:lncRNA from 10 species